UACGUAGGUGACAAGCGUUGUCCGGAUUUACUGGGCGUAAAGCGCGCGUAGGCGGCUUUGUAAGUUAGAGGUGAAAGCCCGGAGCUCAACUCCGGAACUGCCUUUAAAACUGCAUCGCUUGAAUCCAGGAGAGGUGAGUGGAAUUCCGAGUGUAGAGGUGAAAUUCGUAGAUAUUCGGAAGAACACCAGUGGCGAAGGCGGCUCACUGGACUGGUAUUGACGCUGAGGUGCGAAAGCGUGGGGAGCAAACAGG
rnacentral:rRNA from 1 species